GUGGGGAAUAUUGGGCAAUGGGCGAAAGCCUGACCCAGCAACGCCGCGUGAAGGAAGAAGGUUUUCGGAUCGUAAACUUCUAUCCUUGGUGAAGAUAAUGACGGUAGCCAAGAAGGAAGCCCCGGCUAACUACGUGCCAGCAGCCGCGGUAAUACGUAGGGGGCAAGCGUUGUCCGGAAUGAUUGGGCGUAAAGGGCGCGUAGGCGGCCCGGUAAGUCUGAAGUGAAAGUCCUGCUUUUAAGGUGGGAAUUGCUUUGGAUACUGUCGGGCUUGAGUGUAGGAGAGGUAAGCGGAAUUCCCGGUGUAGCGGUGAAAUGCGUAGAGAUCGGGAGGAACACCAGUGGCGAAGGCGGCUUACUGGACUGUAACUGACGCUGAGGCGCGAAAGUGUGGGGAGCAAACAGGAUUAGAAACCCCGGUAGUCC
rnacentral:rRNA from 1 species